GACGAACGCUGGCGGCGUGCUUAACACAUGCAAGUCGAACGAAGAGCGACGGAAGCUUGCUUCUAUCAAUCUUAGUGGCGAACGGGUGAGUAACGCGUAAUCAACCUGCCCUUCAGAGGGGGACAACAGUUGGAAACGACUGCUAAUACCGCAUACGAUCUAACCUCGGCAUCGAGGAUAGAUGAAAGGUGGCCUCUACAUGUAAGCUAUCACUGAAGGAGGGGAUUGCGUCUGAUUAGCUAGUUGGAGGGGUAACGGCCCACCAAGGCGAUGAUCAGUAGCCGGUCUGAGAGGAGGAACGGCCACAUUGGGACUGAGACACGGCCCAGACUCCUACGGGAGGCAGCAGUGGGGAAUCUUCCGCAAUGGACGAAAGUCUGACGGAGCAACGCCGCGUGAGUGAUGACGGCCUUCGGGUUGUAAAGCUCUGUUGAUCGGGACGAAAGGCCUUCUUGCGAAUAGUGAGAAGGAUUGACGGUACCGGAAUAGAAAGCCACGGCUAACUACGUG
rnacentral:rRNA from 1 species